rnacentral:tRNA from 1 species
GAGAAUUUAGUUUAAUAAAAAACAUUAUUUUGUCAAGAUAAAAAUAUCCAAUAAGAAUAAUUCUUU